rnacentral:lncRNA from 1 species
GGUCUUGUGAUCCCUGUCUCUAUCAGAUCCCACGAUUUCCUCGAUCUCAGCAGGUUCUCCAUCAGCAUCGCCCACUACUCGUAAUCACCAUCAAACUUCGGGAUACUCAGCAAUGAAUCUCUCUUACUCAUCUUUAUUUUGUCUCUCACCAGGUUCGUAUCAAGCUCAAAUACCACUUGUUAACUUUAGAAUGAUUAAAAGACCUCAAGAACAAGUAUAAUCUAAAAGUGUAGUUUAUUCAUCGUAGGAGAGAACAUCUAAAUAGACCAAACGUAUUACAAAGAGUGAACGAAACUGACUCCGGAAAUAACUCAACAAACUCAAUGUCCUAUAAUUCAGCUAGACUGAUUCAAACAAGACUUAGUUGUUUCUUCCAGCACACGUCUACUGCUGACGUUUAUUCAACAAGUUUGUUGCUUAUCAUAAACCCUCUUGA